CAGGAGUUCAAGAAUUCGGCUGUGAAGUAUAUGUCCACAUCACAAAAAAAGAGAACAACAUUGUUUCCUUUCCAAAAUCGAGCACCAACAUCUAAUCCUUUGCCCCUGGAAAAUUCUUCAUUCAACUGGAUGAAGGUUUUACAUUGGUAUACUCAAAAUACUAAUGAGGUACGAUUUUAUCUGGAGAGAGUUCUGUGGACUGGCUUAUCUGCACUAUCAUUCUCCAAGUUUUAUUCUUAAUGAACACUUCAGGUCGUUAAUAAUAUAUGCAGAUUUACUGAUUUGCUAUUCACUUCAUGUUUUAUUUUUAAAAUAAGCUGAUUCAACAAUUGCUCCAAUUUUUCUUCUAGCAUAGCAAAUAAAUCUAGGGAGAUGGCAUAAUUCUUUUACUGCUAAUCUUUUACUGCCCUUGAUUCCUCCUAGUUUUUUUCAUAAAGUCUGCGUAAGCUGCAGACCAUGAACUACAUCUGGAGCUCAUCUGAAUAGUGACCCAAUAGUCCCUUGAUUUCCUCCCCCUGGUGGCCAGAGAAUAGAAAUCUGGGCCUUUGAAUGCUGCUCACCCAUUUAUUCUUACAGAAAGCCUGCUGAUGAUCUGAGUGCAUUGUUGAGUGCAGUCAUUUGCUCAGGCAGUUUUUGAACACAGGUGUUACCAAAGAAGUCUGUGUUAGAAAGGCACCCUUUCAACACUCAGCUAAACAAAAUUCUAAAUUAAAUCUGAUUUGCAUUCUCUUUAGAGAUGUGAUAGAACUGUUUCAUAUGUUUGACAUAGUGAACUGACAUUUUUCACCAUUAAAAAUACCUAAAUUAAAUUAACAAAUCUAAUAGUAUCUACUACACAACAUCUCAACUUUUUCUUUUACAUUCUCUUAUACUUACCCCAGCCAAGAAACAAUGACCCCACAAAUACCACCUCCCUGGAGAGAUGUACUACACAAUAAAAGAAGCCUUGCCAAAUAAGAAGUACUUUAAAGAGGAAUGCAAGUUGUGACCUGACUGGGGUCCCUCCUAGGGCUAUGCACACAGAGGCUGCUUCUAAUUCUGUAGUUUUGUUCUUGUUUAGUACUUCUACUACAGCUAAAAACAAGUAGCUUGGGUGAAGUCAAGGGUUCUUGUGCAAAAUGGUAAUCCAAGAAUUUAUAAUCCUAAUGUUUUAUAUUGAAGUGAACUGUAUGCAAGUUUAAUGCCUCUAAUUAAAUAUGGCUAUUCUUGAUUCAUA